rnacentral:rRNA from 1 species
GACGAACGCUGGCGGCGUGCUUAACACAUGCAAGUCGAACGGAAAGGCCCUGCUUUUGUGGGGUGCUCGAGUGGCGAACGGGUGAGUAACACGUGAGUAAUCUGCCCUUGACUUUGGGAUAACUUCAGGAAACUGGGGCUAAUACCGGAUAGGAGCUCCUGCUGCAUGGUGGGGGUUGGAAAGUUUCGGCGGUUGGGGAUGGACUCGCGGCUUAUCAGCUUGUUGGUGGGGUAGUGGCUUACCAAGGCUUUGACGGGUAGCCGGCCUGAGAGGGUGACCGGCCACAUUGGGACUGAGAUACGGCCCAGACUCCUACGGGAGGCAGCAGUGGGGAAUAUUGAACAAUGGGCGGAAGCCUGAUGCAGCAACGCCGCGUGCGGGAUGACGGCCUUCGGGUUGUAAACCGCUUUCGCCUGUGACGAAGCGUGAGUGACGGUAAUGGGUAAAGAAGCACCGGCUAACUACGUG